GUGCCAGCAGCCGCGGUAAGUACGGAGGGUGCGAGCGUUAAUCGGAAGUUACUGGGCGUAAAGCGCAUGCAGGUGGUUUGUUUAAGUUACAGAUGUGAAAGACCCGGGGCCGUCAACCUACCGGAAUUAGCAUUUGUAAACUAGGCAGACUAGAGUACUGUAGAGGGGGGUAGGAAUUUCAGGUGUAGCGGUGAAAUAGCGUAGAGAUCUGAAGGAAUACCGGUGGCGAAGGCGGCCCCCUCGGACAGAUACUGACACUCAGAUGCGAAAGCGUGGGGAGCAAACAGGAUUAGAUACCCCUGGUAG
rnacentral:rRNA from 1 species